AAUAUGUACAUAAGGAAAGUUCCUCAAUCCGAUCCGAUCCGAUCUCGAUCUCGAUCUCGGUCCGCGCCGGUACAGCCAACUCGAGCAGAAUUGAGAAACAGAAGCACGAAUAAAAAUACAAAUAAAACACAAAUAAAAAUACAGAUGAAAAGCACGAAACGAGGCGUCAGCGGGCCGAGCAGCGCCAAGAAUUAAUUUGAGAAUAUUUUUUGCAUCCUUUAGUGCAUUACCGAUUCUGUAGUCGACCCGUUCAGAUCGGCACUAGUCCGGCCAAUUGCUGGCGUAUUGUUUACAUAUACACUGGCUCAAUAACCCAGAAAGUCAGGAAUAUCCGUGUGGUGCUCCGGAAAAAUCCUGGACAAAGUCUCCUUGAAAACGAAUGGGAAAAUGUACCAAAAUUCCCCCAGUUUGUGUGCCGUCGUGAUCCUGUCAAAAUAUCGACCAAAGUUUACUCCAGAGCAAUCGAAAACUUUCAGUUUCUCCGAGCAGGCUUAUUGCUAUUUAUGGAGAGCAUCGGAAAAAUCCUAUAAAUAUAUCCGAUCCCGACGGAAAGCGAGCCGAAGAUUUAAAAUCGCUCCCUGGCCAAACGUGAGUGUGCUAGUGUAUUUUGUAUGGCGCGAAUGAAUAAUACUCACUGCUCAUCGCUAUUUUCGUGUUUCGGAAGUCUGUAUAUAAUCCCACUCCUAUGUACUUCGCUUUACAUAAGUACUUUUGCAGAGGCGGAGGAAACUGCUUGCAGAGGAGAGCUUUCGAUUUUUUAUUCCGAUUUCCUAGGGCCGCAGUAAAUUUUAAACAUUUUCGCAGCAUGUAACGCGUUUCAGUGCCACAGUGAUGGUUCUGCAGAAAGAUCGACAGUAUUUCCGAAUUCUUCGAGAAUUGAUCUACAUAGGUAUUUAAAAGUUGAAUAAACCCACACUCUUCUUACAUAUUUAAUAAUAUUUCCUUGAUUUUUCAAGUUUUUAAUGUGGCAUGUCCUCCUCCAAGCCAAAAGCUAACAACAAAGGAAACCCUUUCAGUUCAUUCCUAAACAAAUUAAUUAAAGACUUUAGUAAAGAUUUCUGUAAUUUUCUCUUUCCACUGCACAUUAAAGCAAUGCAUUUGCAUUUAAUGGUAGAGGCUGAAAAUAUUUUUAAAGGAUAAUGAUAUCUGAGAAAUAAAUAUUCUGCCAACAG